UACGAAGGGGGCUAGCGUUGCUCGGAAUUACUGGGCGUAAAGCGCACGUAGGCGGCUCUUUAAGUCGGGGGUGAAAUCCUGGAGCUCAACUCCAGAACUGCCUUCGAUACUGUAGAGCUUGAGUUCGGGAGAGGUGAGUGGAACUGCGAGUGUAGAGGUGAAAUUCGUAGAUAUUCGGAGGAACACCAGUGGCGAAGGCGGCUCACUGGUCCAUUACUGACGCUGAGGUGCGAAAGCGUGGGGAGCAAACAGG
rnacentral:rRNA from 1 species